rnacentral:rRNA from 1 species
AGAGUUUGAUCCUGGCUCAGGAUGAACGCUAGCGGCAGGCUUAACACAUGCAAGUCGAGGGGUAACAGAGGUAGCUUGCUACUUGCUGACGACCGGCGCACGGGUGCGUAACGCGUAUAGAACCUACCUUUUACAGAGGGAUAGCCCAGAGAAAUUUGGAUUAAUACCUCAUAGUAUUUUAGAUUGGCAUCGAUUUAAAAUUAAACAUUUAUGGGUAAAAGAUGGCUAUGCGUUCUAUUAGUUAGUUGGUAAGGUAACGGCUUACCAAGACAUCGAUAGAUAGGGGUCCUGAGAGGGAGAUCCCCCACACUGGUACUGAGACACGGACCAGACUCCUACGGGAGGCAGCAGUGAGGAAUAUUGGACAAUGGAGGCAACUCUGAUCCAGCCAUGCCGCGUGAAGGAUGACUGCCCUAUGGGUUGUAAACUUCUUUUAUAUAGGAAGAAACGUUGGUACGUGUACCAACCUGACGGUACUAUAUGAAUAAGCACCGGCUAACUCCGUGCCAGCAGCCGCGGUAAUACGGAGGGUGCAAGCGUUAUCCGGAAUCAUUGGGUUUAAAGGGUCCGUAGGCGGAUUGAUAAGUCAGAGGUGAAAUCCCAUAGCUCAACUAUGGAACUGCCUUUGAUACUGUUAGUCUUGAGUCACUUGGAAGUAGAUAGAAUGUGUAGUGUAGCGGUGAAAUGCAUAGAUAUUACACAGAAUACCGAUUGCGAAGGCAGUCUACUACGAGUGUACUGACGCUGAUGGACGAAAGCGUGGGGAGCGAACAGGAUUAGAUACCCUGGUAGUCCACGCCGUAAACGAUGGACACUAGCUGUUGGACUUUAGUUCAGUGGCUAAGCGAAAGUGAUAAGUGUCCCACCUGGGGAGUACGGUCGCAAGAUUGAAACUCAAAGGAAUUGACGGG